rnacentral:rRNA from 1 species
GAAGCAGGUUAAUAUUCCUGCACCUUGAUUCAUUGCGAUGGGGGGACGGAGAAGGUUAGACCAGCCGGGUGUUGGAUAUCCCGGUUUAAGCAUGUAGGGAGUUCUCUUAGGCAAAUCCGGGAGAGCAAUCCUGAGGUGUGAUGACGAGGUCCCAUAGUGGACCGAAGUGGUUGAUACCCUGCUUCCAGGAAAAUCCUCUAAGCUUCAGAUGAAUUGAGACCGUACCCGAAACCGACACAGGUGGGCAGGGAGAGUAUCCCAAGGCGCUUGAGAGAACCCUGGUGAAGGAACUAGGCAAAAUAGCACCGUAACUUCGGGAGAAGGUGUGCCCUUUGUAUGUGAAAGCCCUGCGGCUGGAGCAGAAGAGGGUUGCAGUGACCAGGUGGCCGCGACUGUUUACUAAAAACACAGCACUCUGCAAACUCGUAAGAGGAAGUAUAGGGUGUGACGCC